GUCUCUGUGGUGCAGUUGGUUAGUGCACUGGGCUGUUAGCCAAAAGGUUGGUGGUUCAAUCCCACCCAGGGAUG
rnacentral:tRNA from 1 species